rnacentral:rRNA from 1 species
CUUAACCAUGCAAGUCGAACGCCCCGCAGGGGGAGUGGCAGACGGGUGAGUAACGCGUGGGAAUCUACCCAUCUCUGCGGAAUAGCUCUGGGAAACUGGAAUUAAUACCGCAUACGCCCUACGGGGGAAAGAUUUAUCGGGGAUGGAUGAGCCCGCGUUGGAUUAGCUAGUUGGUGGGGUAAAGGCCUACCAAGGCGACGAUCCAUAGCUGGUCUGAGAGGAUGAUCAGCCACAUUGGGACUGAGACACGGCCCAAACUCCUACGGGAGGCAGCAGUGGGGAAUAUUGGACAAUGGGCGCAAGCCUGAUCCAGCCAUGCCGCGUGAGUGAUGAAGGCCUUAGGGUUGUAAAGCUCUUUCACCGAUGAAGAUAAUGACGGUAGUCGGAGAAGAAGCCCCGGCUAACUUCGUGCCAGCAGCCGCGGUAAUACGAAGGGGGCUAGCGUUGUUCGGAAUUACUGGGCGUAAAGCGCACGUAGGCGGAUAUUUAAGUCAGGGGUGAAAUCCCGCAGCUCAACUGCGGAACUGCCUUUGAUACUGGGUAUCUUGAGUAUGGAAGAGGUAAGUGGAAUUCCGAGUGUAGAGGUGAAAUUCGUAGAUAUUCGGAGGAACACCAGUGGCGAAGGCGGCUUACUGGUCCAUUACUGACGCUGAGGUGCGAAAGCGUGGGGAGCAAACAGGAUUAGAUACCCUGGUAGUCCACGCCGUAGACGAUGAAUGUUAGCCGUCGGGCAGUAUACUGUUCGGUGGCGCAGCUAACGCAUUAAACAUUCCGCCUGGGGGAGUACGGUCGCAAGAUUAAAACUCAAGGGAAUUGACGGGGGCCCGCACAAGCGGUGGAACCAUGUGG